UAAAAGAUCUAAGUUAAUUUGUUAGUUUUUGUUUCAAAAAAAUUUAAUAGUUUAAUUUAGGUGUAAAAUGUUAUCCGUUUUUAUUGAUAUCUAGUAACUUUGGAAAUAAAUUUAGUUUAGAAUAUAGAGGGUUACUUUAGUUUAAAGUAAGGUCUUAAAAUGUUUUUAUACUUUAGGGGAUGAGCUCUAAAGUAAAUAUAAAAGAAUAAUUUUUUAAUUAAUUUUUUAGGCUUAGAAUUGGCCAUAAGAUAGUGUUAUAAGAUAAAAUUUUAAGUUUAAGAUUUGUUUUUCUUUUGUUUUUAGAAAGUUAAAGAUAAAAUGAAAUUUGUUUUGGAAAUAUGAUAAUAUUAGUAGAUAAAAGAAUUAUAAAAUGAAAAGAAAAUGGAUUCUUCUUUAUUUUUUUUAAAAAUAAUUAAGUUAAAAGAACUCGGCAAAAAAGAUUUCCGAAUGUUUAACAAAAACAUUUCCUCUUGAAAAAAGGAGGUAAGGCCUGCUCACUGAAUUUUUAAAGAGCCGCAGUAUUCUGACUGUGCUAAGGUAGCAUAAUCAUUAGUCUUUUAAUUGGAGACUGGUAUGAAUGGCUAAACGAGAAAUCGACUUUUUUUAUCUUAAAAAUUGAAUUUAAUUUUUUAGUGAAAAAGCUAAAAUUUUUCAGAAAGACGAGAAGACCCUAUAGAGUUUUAUAUUUUUAUAAACUUUUUCUUUGUGGAUUUUUUUGGAAUAAGUUUUUUUAAAGUAUUUUGUUGGGGCGACAUUAAGAUAAAAGAAACUCUUUAUUUUUUAAACUUUUAUAAAAGAAUUGUUUGAUCCUUUAAAAGAGAUCAAAAGAAAAAAUUACCUUAGGGAUAACAGCGUAAUCUUUUUUGAGAGUUCUAAUCGACAAAAAGGUUUGCGACCUCGAUGUUGGACUAAAAUUUAUACA
rnacentral:rRNA from 1 species